AGAUAGAGAUAAACACCACCGCAGUGAUGUGGUGCUCUGACCCAAAGCUGGGUCAUCUGCUUGCCAAAGCAAGUAUCUUCCCAGGGAGAGAAAUAGAGACAGAGAGAGGCCAGAGCACUUCUCAGUUUUGACAUAUGGUGGUCCUAAGGAUUGAAUCUGUGACCUCUGGAGCCAAAGAAGUAAUAAUCAACCCGUAUCUGUGAUCUUGGGAGAACUUCUGCAGUUUCCAGUGGAGGGAACGGGGACACAGAACUCCAGUGGUGGAAAAGGUGAGGAAUUAUACCCCUGUUGUCUUAUAAUUUUGUUCCAGAUGUUACCAUGAUGCCAACCAGACUUCCCUGGACAGACAACCCCACCAAUAUGUCCUGGAGCUCUGCUUCCCCAGAGCCCUUCCCCACUAGGGAAAGAGAGAGACAGGCUGGGAGUAUGGAUCAACCUGUCAAUGCCCAUGUUCAGUGGGGAAGCAAUUACAGAAGCCUGACCUUCCACCUUCUGCAUCCCACAAUGACCUUGGGUCCAUACUCCCAGAGGGUCAAAGAAUAAGAAAGCUAUCAGGGUAGGGGAUGGGAUAUAGAGUUCUCGUGGUGGGAAUUGUGUGGAGUUGUACCCCUCUUAUCCUAUGGUUUUGUCAAUGUUUCCUUUUUAUAAAUAAAAAAAAUAAAAAAAAUAAAGUACUGGACUCUCAAGCAUGAGGUCCAGAGUUCAAUCCCUGGCAGCACAUAUACCAGAGUGCUGUUUGGUUCUUUCUUUCUCUCUCUCUCUUUCCUCUUAUCUUUCUGAUAAAUAAAAUCUUUAAAAAUAUUUUUGUUCUCCCCACCUGCAGGGGAGUCACUUCACAAGCGGUGAAGCAGGUCUGCAGGUGUCUGUCCUCUCCCCCUCUCUGUCUCCCCCCCUCUCACCAUUUCUCUCUGUCCUGUGCAAUAAAAUGGAAAAAUGGCCUAAAAUUUUUUUUUUUGUUUUUGGGAGUCCGGCGGUAGC